rnacentral:rRNA from 1 species
CCUACGGGUGGCUGCAGUGAGGAAUAUUGGUCAAUGGGCGUAAGCCUGAACCAGCCAAGUCGCGUGAGGGAUGAAGGUUCUAUGGAUCGUAAACCUCUUUUAUAAGGGAAUAAAGUGUGGGACGUGUCCUAUUUUGUAUGUACCUUAUGAAUAAGGAUCGGCUAACUCCGUGCCAGCAGCCGCGGUAAUACGGAGGAUGCGAGCGUUAUCCGGAUUUAUUGGGUUUAAAGGGUGCGUAGGCGGGCAUUUAAGCCGGCGGUCAAAUGUCGGGGCUCAACCCCGGCCUGCCGUCGGAACUGGGUGCCUUGAGUGGGCGAGAAGUAUGCGGAAUGCGUGGUGUAGCGGUGAAAUGCAUAGAUAUCACGCAGAACCCCGAUUGCGAAGGCAGCAUACCGGCGCCCGACUGACGCUGAUGCACGAAAGUGCGGGUAUCGAACAGGAUUAGAUACCCUAGUAGUC